rnacentral:tRNA from 1 species
GGCCCUAGCUCAAUGGUAGAGCACUUGCCUCACAUGUGGGAGGCACUGUGUUCGAUCCUCAGCACCA